rnacentral:sRNA from 1 species
GGUACUCCCAUGAUAUGUUUGAUUCCAAUGACGAUGCUGUGAAGUUUGAAGGUGUUUUGGAUACAGCUUUCAUGUUGGCCUAUGCUGUGGGUCUCUUUCUAAAUGGUUACAUUGGGGACAGAGUCAACAUGCGGAUAUUGUUGUCUGUUGGUAUGGCUGCCACUUCAGUACUUGUUUUUAUCUUUGGCUGUGUCUGUGAGUGGACG